AGUCGAACGGGACAUUAUUUGUAGCAAUACAGAUGAUGUUCAGUGGCGAAAGGGUGCGUAACACGUGGGCAAUCUACCGAGAAGUGGGGGAUAGCUCGCCGAAAGGCGAAUUAAUACCGCAUGUGACCCUGGGCAUCCUUGCCUGGGCGUCAAAGCCGGGGCAACCUGGCGCUUUUUGAUGAGCCCGCGGCCUAUCAGCUAGUUGGUGAGGUAACGGCUCACCAAGGCUAUGACGGGUAGCUGGUCUGAGAGGACGACCAGCCACACUGGAACUGAGACACGGUCCAGACACCUACGGGUGGCAGCAGUCGAGAAUUUUUCACAAUGGGGGCAGCCCUGAUGGAGCGACGCCGCGUGGAGGAUGAAGGUCUUCGGAUUGUAAACUCCUGUCAUUGGUGAACAAGAUGGGCGGGGUAACUCCUUGCCUGUUUGCUAGUAGCCGAAGAGGAAGGGACGGCUAACUCUGUGCCAGCAGCCGCGGUAAUACAGAGGUCCCGAGCGUUGUUCGGAUUUAUUGGGCGUAAAGGGUGCGUAGGCGGCGGAGUAAGUUGGGUGUGAAAUCCCGAGGCUCAACCUCGGAAUGGCAUUCAAUACUGCUUCGCUUGAGUACUGGAGAGGAGGCUGGAAUUUACGGUGUAGCAGUGAAAUGCGUAGAUAUCGUAAGGAAGGCCGGUGGCGAAAGCGAGCCUCUGGACAGUUACUGACGCUGAUGCACGAAGGCCAGGGGAGC
rnacentral:rRNA from 1 species